rnacentral:rRNA from 1 species
AUUGAACGCUGGCGGCAGGCCUAACACAUGCAAGUCGAACGAGUGGCGGACGGGUGAGUAAUGUCUGGGAAACUGCCUGAUGGAGGGGGAUAACUACUGGAAACGGUAGCUAAUACCGCAUACCAUCGGAUGUGCCCAGAGGGGAUUAGCUUGUUGGUGGGGUAACGGCUCACCAAGGCGACGCUGCCUAGCUGGUCUGAGAGGAUGACCAUCCACACUGGAAGGGAGAAACGGUCCAGACUCCUACGGGAGGCAGCAGGGGGGAAUAUUGCACAAGGGGCGCAAGCCUGAUGAAGCCAUGCCGCGUGUAUGAAGAAGGCCUUCGGGUUGUAAAGUACUUUCAUCGGGGAGGCGGUACCCGCAGAAGAAGCACCGGCUAACUCCGUGCCAGCAGCCGCGGUAAUUC